CGAGUUAGGGUCUCUAGGCCCGACCUCCCAACCCUUUGCUUACCGAACCUCUGUUGCUUCGGCGGGCCGUCUCACGACCGCCGGAGGACCCGCGCAUGGGCGUGUCCUCUAGCCCGUGUCCGCCGAUAGCCACCUACAAAACUCUGUAUAAAUCAUGUCUCAUGUCUAAGUCAAAUUGAAUUAAAAGCA
rnacentral:misc_RNA from 1 species